rnacentral:rRNA from 1 species
GCUUGCUGGGGGAUUAGUGGCGAACGGGUGAGUAACACGUGAGUAACCUGCCCUUAACUCUGGGAUAAGCCUGGGAAACUGGGUCUAAUACCGGAUAUGACUCCUCAUCGCAUGGUGGGGGGUGGAAAGCUUUUUGUGGUUUUGGAUGGACUCGCGGCCUAUCAGCUUGUUGGUGAGGUAAUGGCUCACCAAGGCGACGACGGGUAGCCGGCCUGAGAGGGUGACCGGCCACACUGGGACUGAGACACGGCCCAGACUCCUACGGGAGGCAGCAGUGGGGAAUAUUGCACAAUGGGCGAAAGCCUGAUGCAGCGACGCCGCGUGAGGGAUGACGGCCUUCGGGUUGUAAACCUCUUUCAGUAGGGAAGAAGCGAAAGUGACGGUACCUGCAGAAGAAGCGCCGGCUAACUACGUGCCAGCAGCCGCGGUAAUACGUAGGGCGCAAGCGUUAUCCGGAAUUAUUGGGCGUAAAGAGCUCGUAGGCGGUUUGUCGCGUCUGCCGUGAAAGUCCGGGGCUCAACUCCGGAUCUGCGGUGGGUACGGGCAGACUAGAGUGAUGUAGGGGAGACUGGAAUUCCUGGUGUAGCGGUGAAAUGCGCAGAUAUCAGGAGGAACACCGAUGGCGAAGGCAGGUCUCUGGGCAUUAACUGACGCUGAGGAGCGAAAGCAUGGGGAGCGAACAGGAUUAGAUACCCUGGUAGUCCAUGCCGUAAACGUUGGGCACUAGGUGUGGGGGACAUUCCACGUUUUCCGCGCCGUAGCUAACGCAUUAAGUGCCCCGCCUGGGGAGUACGGCCGCA